GCUCCGCCCCGCGCCUGUGCUGCAUUGGGCUGUGCGGGAGCGGUGCGUGGGGAGCACCGGCACUCGGCGCCCCGUGUCAGAUGCAGCACAGAUCCACCACCGCAACGCCCCAGGAACAGGGGAGCUUUUUAAUCCCUUAAUCUGCUUCAUUACCGUGACUCCUGCGCGGUGAUAUCGCACCUUUUCUCUGCCCCAACCAAUGUGAAAUAAAUAGGAUCGGUCUCACAACCCCGCUGCAGUACGACUGUUGCUGCACGUACUGAUUUGUUGGCUACGAUAUUUUACGUGUUCUAUACCGUACGUGCAAAUGUGGACUUCAUGGGAGCUCGUUCUCAGGGGGCUUCGCCACCAGCAGGAAGCACCUCCGGCUGUAACAGUCUGCCAGCGAACAUCGCCCUGUUAGCACAGAACACGAGCCUCGUAGGACCUUUCAGACAAAGGUGAAAAUGCACGAUUCGUGGCAGCAAAGCUAAUGAGCACAGGGGACCAUGAAGAAAAAUACCCUGUAAAAUGCCAAGAGUUACAUGGGCAAUGUACCGCUUUCUACGAGACUUCCUCUUUUCAUUCCGGAAGGCAGCAAACUUCUCACAGAAAAAAAACAAACGUGGCUUUGCUUUAAGAGGUUCUGACUAUUAGCUGUACAGCGUGACUGUUCAUCCUGCAGUACUAUGCAGGAAGAAAAGCGUCUCUUCUCCCCUGCUGUGGAAUUAUUAAGAUCACCAUAACAAAGGAACAAAAGGAGCCCGGACUUGCAGGAAGGAAUUGGAGUGAGUGGAUGGAAUGGAGAAGGAAGACACUGGAGGAGUGGAAUGGAUGCUAUCCUGAGGAACUAGAAUCUGUCUUCACCAGAAAAUUCUUGAGUGAUGCAGGGGAAGGUAUUUAAACCAAAAUUUUAAUUGUCUGCUUAAGUUAAAGGUCAAAUCUCCUUCCUGACUGCAGCUGAAGAAAAGAGGCCAGCUCUGUCCAGAGCACAAAUGUUGGAGUCCUCCUAUCUCUCCCAGCUAAAAUUUCUGAAUUAAAUACAUAGAGAUAA